AUUGAACGCUGGCGGAAUGCUUUACACAUGCAAGUCGAACGGCAGCACGGACUUCGGUCUGGUGGCGAGUGGCGAACGGGUGGGUAAUAUAUCGGAACGUGCCCAGUCGUGGGGAUAACGUAGUGAAAAUUACGCUAAUACCGCAUACGAUCUAUGGAUGAAAGCGGGGGACCUUUGGGCCUCGCGCGAUUGGAGCGGCCGAUAUCAGAUUAGGUAGUUGGUGGGGUAAAGGCUCACCAAGCCAACGAUCUGUAGCUGGUCUGAGAGGACGACCAGCCACACUGGGACUGAGACACGGCCCAGACUCCUACGGGAGGCAGCAGUGGGGAAUUUUGGACAAUGGACGCAAGUCUGAUCCAGCCAUUCCGCGUGCAGGACGAAGGCCUUCGGGUUGUAAACUGCUUUUGUACAGAACGAAAAGGUUUCUACUAAUACCAGGAGCUCAUGACGGUACUGUAAGAAUAAGCACCGGCUAACUACGUGCCAGCCGCCGCAGUAA
rnacentral:rRNA from 1 species